AUAUUGCUAAUAAUUUGUGUUAUUGGCUUUUUAAUAUUUUUCGUAUAACAUAAUAUGUUCCUCUAAUCAGGUGACACGUGAUCCUCGCUUUGAAUUUUUAUGUGGGACACUUGAUACAGACGGGUGAGGCUUAAUUAUUUUUUAUCUCGUUUCCAUUAAUAGACAACCUUGUUUGAUAAAUUGGUAUGGCUUUAGAAAUUUUAGUUUCCCGCGGGAUGUUAAUGCUUUGAUCAUCCUUCUUCAGAUCCAUCUAUUUAACUCAUUGAUUUCUCAUUUCAUUUAAUGCUUCUCAACAUGGUUUCUUUUACACUUGAAGACUAUUAUCUGCUCCUGUUUAAUGACAUGUGUUAAUCCUUAGCUCAUGACAUAUUGAAACUUUCCCUUUUAGCUUUUUUGAAGUUUGAACUAAAACUAAAACUAAAAUUUGGGUACUGGUAUUAUAGCUGAAACUGAAAAUCUAAAUAUUAUGGGUGUUAGUUGUACUAAAAAUUUGUGAAGAUUUUAGUAUUUUAACCUCAUAAAAAUUAUUCAGACAAACCAAGUCUGUCCAAAGAUGUGCAUAUGUAUGAAAAGCUACAAAUGAAGACUUCCACUCCAGGUACAAGAAAGGAAUUGUCCAGCAGUACACAGACAUUUAGAGGUUCAGCAAUGAAAGUUAAAUAGAGAAGAGCUCUCUUAGCGAGGAGUAGAAUGAAAACCAAAAAGAAAUUGUAGAAUGUAAUAUGCCCAACAUGCUGCAACAUCACGAGUUCUAGUAGGGUUUAGUGUGGUAGUGUAGUCUAAUUAAUACUCAACUCCUUGGUCUUGAAAAGGAAGUGGCUCACAUAGUGUUUGGGACCAUUGAGAAUUCUACUUUCUUUUUCUUCCAAAAUUUUAAUAACGAUGACUAUGUGCUCAAAUAUCCACUUCCUUUUAACCAAGGGGAUAAGGCCAGGGCCUAAAACUAAGCAAUCCUUUCUUUACAUAUGCAUUUUCCUUUUAUUUUUGUAUGGCUACUCUUGCUUCUUUGCUUAAGUCAUCAUGGUAUAGUGCAAAUGCUUUCAUGAGAACACAAUGGUUCAUCUGUUUUUUAUAUUAAAAAAAAAAAAAAAAAAAAAAAAAACUUCAAAUGAAAUACAGAUCAUACUUUUUACUGCUCUAAAAGUCUAUUGAGAUUUGACCGAUCAAACAAAAGCUAAAUUUUGUUCUUGUAGAUACCACUAUUUUAUUUCUCAACAAAGCAUCUAAUCAUACUAACACAGACAUUUAGAGGUUCAACAAUGAAAGUUUAAUAGAGAAGAGCUCUCUUAGCGAGGAGUAGAAUGAAAACGAAAAAGAAAUUGUAGAAUGUAAUAUGUCCAACAUGCUGCAACAUCACGAGUUCUACUAGGGUUUAAUGUGGUAGUAUAGUCUAAUUAAUACUCAACUCCUUGGUCUUUAAAAGGUAGUGGCUCACAUAGUGUUUGAGACCAUUGAGAAUUCUACUUUCUUUUUCUUCCAAAAUUUUAAUAACGAUGACUAUGUCCUCAAAUAUCCACUUCCUUUUAAUAACGAUGACUAUGUACUCUUGCUUCUUUGCUUAAGUCAUCAUGGUAUAGUGCAAAUGCAUGCUUUCAUGAGAACAUAGUGGUUCAUCUGUUUUUUAUAUUAAAAAAAAAAAAAUUCAAAUGAAAUACAGACCAUACUUUUUACUGCUCUAAAAGUCUAUUGAGAUUUGACCGGUCAAACAAAAGCUAAACUUUGUUCUUGUGGAUACCACUUAGAAUUUUAUUUCUCAACAAAGCAUCUAAUCAUACUCUUAUGCAUACUGCUAAUAAUCUGUGUUAUUGGCUUUUUAAUAUUUUUCGUAUAAUAUAAUAUGUUCCUCUAAUCAGGUGACACGUGAUCCUCGCUUUGAAUUUUUAUGUGGGACACUUGAUACAGACGGGUGAGGCUUAAUUGUUUUUUAUCUCGUUUCCAUUAAUAGACAACCUUGUUUGAUAAAUUGGUAUGGCUUUAGAAAUUUCAGGGAAUAAAAAAACGGACCCCUUUAAGAUGUUAAUAUGUAAGAUUGGACUAGUUAGGGAACUAUUGGUAAAAAAGGCCCAACCGCUGAUUUCCGUGUCUUAUGGACUAGUUUACCCCUCGACUGAUGCAAAGACUCGUUUGCAUAUCACAAACACAUAAACAGACUUAUUUGCAUCAGUCACAACACAACAUAAAAUGCAAAGACUUGUUUGCAUACUCGCAACAACAACCACAUAACCAUAAAAUGUAAAGACUUGUUUGCAUCAGUCACAACACACAUAAACAUUAAAUGCAAAAACUUGUUUGCAUACUCGCAACGACAACCACAUAAACUAUAAAAUGUAAAGACUUGUUUACAUCAGUCACAACACACAUAAAUAUUAAUUGCAAAAACUUAUUUGCAUAGUCGAAACAACAACCACCACAUACCAUAAAAUGCAAACAUUUGUUUGCAUAAACCAGGGUAUUAUCGGUAGUAAAAGGGCCGUUUUUACAAUAUCAACGUUAAAUGGGUAUUUUCUUAUUCCACAAAUGCUUAAUUAGGGCCAAUUUUAUAAAUUGGGCCUUAGCUGGGCCAUUUGUGUUUUAUGGAUGCUUAAUGAGGUCCCAGAACCAUUUCCAUGUAGAAAUUUUAGUUUCUUGCGGGAUGUUAAUUCUUUGAUCAUCCUUCUUCAGAUCCAUCUAUUUAACUCAUUGAUUUCUCAUUUCAUUUAAUGCUUCUCAACAUGGUUUCUUUUACACUUGAAGACUAUUAUCUGCUCCUGUUUAAUGACCUGUGCUAAUCCUUAGCUCAUGGUUUCUUUUAUUAUAUUAAUCUUUUGAGAUAUGAAUAUAUCUAUAAUAUAUUUUAUUUACACAUAAAAUUUAUCAAUAUUUUGAGAAUUAUUGUUAAUAUCAAGUUUUUGAAAUUUUUGAGAUUUGUAACUUUGUAAGUAUGGCUAUGUUUGGUUCACGGAAUUCAGAUUCCGGGAAAAGAGGGGGUAUUAAUGGAAGAGAUAACAAUAGAAGAAAGAUAAAGCAAUCAAAAUGCGGAGAUAUAGAGUUUAAGAUGGAAGGAAUUCUAAGGAGAUCAAAACACUUGACAUAUUUGUCCGGACAAAAAUAGAAACUGGUUUCCAUUUUAUAAAAAAAGAAAACAUAUUCCUUUAUUUUAGCCUUCACCGGAAUCUAAAUUCUGAUCUUCCGUCCAAAAUUAGCGGGUUUUAGCCUUACUUUGGAACCAAACGUAGCCUAUGAUUAAAAUAAUUAAAAUUAGUAUGUCAGCCAGAUUCCUCCCAAAAUCACAGGACCAAAACCUGAAUAUUCUAAGGGUAGAACUGUAAAACACCCAAAACGUUCUUCCCAUUUUACCCUCACUUGCAUAAAAAGCUUUCCAAGUUCCAAAUGAAGAAAUAAAUGCUUCUUCAAUCCAAACACCCCCUUAACUUUUUUGUGAAAAGAAAACUAUAACGGGUUACUUCUCUUCUUCUUCUUCUUCUUCAUCGAGCGAGCGAGGGAGUAAGCAAAACUUCUCUUUCUUCCCAUCGAUUCUUCUUCUUCUUCAUCGAGCGAGCGAGCGAGCAAGCAAAACUUCUCUUUCUUCCCAUCGAUUCUUCUUCUUGUUCUUCCCCAAAACCCCAGAAACCAACCAAUCAAAUUCUAGGGUUUUUCACAAUUUUAAAAAAGAGGAAGAAGAAGAAGAAGAAGAAGACGAAGAAAAUGAACAAAAGAAAUAAGUUUCAAAUCAUGGAUUCUCUACUCUUUGUGAGUAGUAGUAACUAGUAUUUAGUAGUAAUAGUAGUAUAAACUGGUUAACAAGUUUGAGAGAUUUUAAUGGCCAAGUGUGUUUACCAAGUUUGGAAAGGAAACAAUGUAAGCCUUAUUUCUUUCUAUUUAAACUAUUUAUUAGUUACUUUUUUUUUUUUAGUGAAUUGGGUUUCUUGGAAUUGAAUUGAUUUAAUGUUAUUUAGUUUAAGUUAUAUUGAAUUUGAUGUUCUUGGAUGGUUUUAACAUUUGGGUAUGCUUUACUUUGCUUGUUAAAUGGUCGAAUUGGAUUAAUAGGGUAUUGUUCAUAUGAACAUUUUAGUUUAAUUUGGGGUUUGUUCUAGUUCAUAAAUGGGUUGACUUUAGCAUUUUGUUAUGUGAUUAGGACUUGCUUCCACUAAGUUUAUUUUAUAAGGUUUUGCAGGCUAGGAUAUGCAUGUGGUUCAAGUGAUUUUCAUGGGAUGACUUUAAUCUUGCCUUGUCUUCUGUUCUAGGCCUCUUCUUUCCAGCUGUAAUCAGGCCUAUGUUGGACUCGUUUGAAUCAUCCAAGCAAGUAUCGCUGCUUGCUUUAAAUGAUGUAAGUUUCCAAGCUUUUAUUUAUGUGUUGUCCCUUACAAGCUUUGCCAUUUUUAAUUUUUUAUCUUCCUCUUUUCUGCAUGUCAUUUUAGAUUUAAUACGAGUGGUUAGGAUCUUGGACUUCUCUAGUGUUAUUCAACCCUUUGGUAUAAUUUCUGACACUAAAACAAAAAUAAAAUUAGAAAAACCUUCAUGGUAUAAAAUGGAACGGAAAUCCAUCAGAUCUAGCAGCUUAAAAGUAUGUUCAACUGCAUCUGUGCACUGGUACACAUUAUUUUGAUGGGGUUUUCUCUUUCUUUGUAUAGAAUUCUUAUUUUGCCUUAUUCAAGAGUUAAUACUUGAGAUAAGCGUCUCAUUACAAUUGGUUGGUUGACAUUCAUGUUGGAUGUACAUAAUAUCGAACCUUUCUUUGUAUAGAAUUCUUUGUAUAGAAUUCUUCACAUUUUUCUUUCUGGGGUUUUCUCUUUCUUUGUAUAGAAUUCUUCACAUUUUUCUUUCUGGUGUUUUAGAUGUCAUCAUUAGCAACGUUUAUCAGUAUGCAUAUUAGGAAUGAUGUUGUUUUACGUACAUUACAGACUGCAUAAAACGACUACACUUGUAAAUAUCUCUAUGGUACUACUUUCACGCUCGUUGCUUAAUAUUGUUGUUCGGGAGAAGAAAACUUUGGACUUUUUUGCACCAUGUAAAUCUACUGCAUUAAUCAUUUAACCAUUCUUUAGUACAGUAAAACCUCUCUAUAGUCAUACUCUUGGGACCAAAAUAAAUUAUUACAAUAGAGAGGUUAUAACUUAAUAGAGUUUUACUUAAGAAAAUUAUCGUAUAAUUUCAAUAAUGGUAUAGUUUCAAAACAAUAAUAUAGCUUCAAGAUAUAGUGCACAUAUACUAAUUUAGUGAUGGGAAGUGUUAGAAAAUAAAAAACAUAUUAAAUGUCUCAAAUUUUAUAUUUUUUUUAAUAUUUUUCUCAAUAUGUAAUAUAUUUUUUGUUAAUAUAUACUUAAUUAUAACUAUGUAGAGGCAAUUUUCUUCUAGAUGGGACCUAAAAAAUUUAUAACUUAUGACAAUAUGAAUAUUAUUCCUAUUUAUAACUGGUCCUAAGUUGGGACUGAAAUUUUUUAUGACUAUGUAGAGGUUAUGACUAUGUAUAGGUUAUUCCAUAGUUGAAUACCAUAUGGAGAUGUUAGUGGUAAAUACUGAAUAUAUUGGGUGGUGAUUUGAAACACAUGUAAUUUGGCCUGCAUGUUAUGAGGACAUGGAAAACAUAUCAUAAUGUGAUAUUGUUUGUUCUCUUAAGUUCAUAAUGUAUGUUACGAUUCUUCAAGUUGGAUUUGGAAUUUCAUGUUCAUGAGGGUUAUGGCUUGAAUCCAUUUUCCGAGGAUUGAUAAAAAAAAUGAGGAUUGGGAGUUGGAUUUUGUUUAAGGGCAAUGUAAAACCUAAGACCUAUGUUCUGCAUCUUGACAUAUGUUCGAGAUUAUAAUAAAGAACCAAUGUCCCUCAGUCCCUUGGAGUAUAAACAAGAAACGUCCCUUAAAAUCAACGAAAAAGUCCCUUGGACUAUAAGCUAGAAAACUCCAAUAAGAUCGACAAAAAAAUCAUUUGGACUAUAAACAAGAAAAGUCCCUUAAGAUUAAUCAAAGUCCCUCAGUCACUUGGACUAUAAACAAGAUGGCAAAGUUGGAAGAAAAAAGUCCCCUGGACUAUAAACAAGAAAAGUUCCUUGGACUAUAAACAAAAUAAGUCCCAUAAGAUCAACGAAAGUCCCUCAGUCCCUUGGACUAUAAAUAAGAUGGUAAUGUUGGAAGAAAAGUUCUCUGGACUAUAUACAAGAAAAGUCCAUUAAGAUAAACGAAAGUCCCUCAGUCCAUUGGACUAUAAACAAGAUGGGAAUGUGGGAAGAGAAAAGUCCCCUGGGCUAUAAAUAAAAAAGUCCCUUACGAUCGAGGGAAAAGUCGUUAAGAUUGACACAAAUGUCCCAUGGACUAUAAACAAGAAAAGUCCCAUGAAAUAUAAACAAAAAAAGUCUCUUAAGAUCAACGAAAGUCCCUCAGUCCCUUGGACUAUAAACAAGAUGGGAGUCCCUUAGUCCCUUGGACUAUAAACAAGAUGGGAAUGUUGGAAGAAAAAAGUCCCUUGAUCUACAAACAAGUAAAGUCCAUUGAAAUCAACAAAACUCCCUUCAUCACUAUAAACGACGAAAGUCCCUUGGACCAUAAAUCGGAUGGGAAUGUUGGAAGAGAAAAAUCCUUUGGACUAUAAUCAAGAAAAGUCCCUUAAGAUCAACGAAACUGCCUUAGUCACAAUAAUAAAAACGUUGGGAAUGUAGAAAGAGAAAUGUCCCUUAGACUAUAAACAAGUUGAAUGUGGCACUGUAACGAUGAACUGAUUAAAUAUAAUUAAUGCUCAUAUUUUAUUGGUCUCUUUAUUCUUUUAUAUUAUCUCAAUCUUUGGCAAAGUUAGUUUGUAUGUUUGGUCUCUUCAGAAUUGUUGAAAUUAAAUAAUUUGUGACUGUAUGAUAUGUUGUUCCAUUAAGGUGGUUAGGAAUGCCAUUAUGUUUGGAUAGUGUUGUAUAGUUGAAUACCAUGUGGAGAUGUUAGUGGUAAAUACUGAAUAUAUUAGGUGGUGGUUUGAAACACAUGUAAUUUGGCUUGCAUGUUAUGAGGACAUGGAAAACAUAUCAUAAUGUGAUAUUGUUUGUUCUCUUAAGUUCAUAAUGUAUGUUUCGAUUCUUCAUGCUGGAUUUGGAAUUUCAUGUUCAUUGAUGGUUGUGGCUUGAAUCCAUUUCCCGAGGAUUGGUAAAAAAACUGAGGAUUGGGAGUUGGAUUUUGUUUAAGAGCAAUGUAAAACCUAUGACCUAUGUUCUGCAUCUUGACAUAUGUUCGAGAUUAUAAUAAAUAACCAAAGUCCCUCAGUCCCUUGGAGUAUAAACAAGAAACGUCCUUUAAAAUCGAAGAAAAAGUCUCUUCGACUAUAAGCUAGAAAAGUCCUAUAAGAUCGACAAAAAAAUCAUUUGGACUAUAAACAAGAAAAGUCCCUUAAGAUUAAUGAAAGUCCCUCAGUCACUUGGACUAUAAACAAGAAAAGUUCCUUGGACUAUAAACAAAAUAAGUCCCAUAAGAUUAACGAAAGUCACUCAGUCCCUUGGACUAUAAACAAGAUGGUAAUGUUGGAAGAAAAGUUCUCUGGACUAUAUACAAGAAAAGUCCAUUAAGAUAACGAAAGUCCCUCAGUCCAUUGGACUAUAAACAAGAUGGGAAUGUUGGAAGAGAAAAGUCCCCUGGACUAUUAAUAAAAACGUUCCUUAAGAUCGAGGGAAAAGUCGUUAAGAUUGACACAAAUGUCCCAUGGACUAUAAACAAGAAAAGUCCCAUGAAAUAUAAACAAAAAAAGUCCCUUAAGAUCAACGAAAGUCCCUCAGUCCCUUGGACUAUACACAAGAUGGUAAUGUUGGAAGAAAAUUUCUCUAGACUAUAUACAAGAAAAGUCCAUUAAGAUAAAUGAAAGUCCCUCAGUCCAUUGGACUAUAAACAAGAUGGGAAUGUUGGAAGAGAAAAGUCCCCUAGACUAUAAAUAAAAAGUCCCUUAAGAUCGACGAAAAAGUCCUUUGGAUUAUGAACAGGAGAAGUCCUUAAGAUUGACGCAAAUGUCCCAUGGACUAAACAAGAGAAGUCCCAUGGAAAAUAAACAAAAAAAGUCCCUUAAAAUCAGCAAAAGUCCCUCAAUCCUUUGGACUAUAAACAAGAUGGGGGUGCCUUAGUCCCUUGGACUAUAAACAAGAUGGGAAUGUUGGAAGAAAAAAGUCCCUUGAACUAAAAACAAGUAAAGUCCAUUGAAAUCAACGAAAGUUCCUUCAUCACUAUAGACGACGAAAGUCCUUUGGACCAUAAAUAGGAUGAGAAUAUUGGAAGAGAAAAAUCUUUUGGCCUAAACAAGAAAAAUCCCUAAAGAUCAAUGAAAGUGCCUUAGUCACAAUAAUAAAAAAGUUGGGAAUGUAGAAAGAGAAAUGGCCCUUAGACUAUAAACAAGUUGAGUGUGGUACUGUAACGAUGAACUGAUUAUAUAUAAAUAAUGCCCAUAUUUUAUUGGGCUUUUUAUCCUUUUAUAUUAUCUCAAUUUUUGGCAAAGUUUGUUUGUAUGUUGGGUCUCUUCAGAAAUGUUGAAAUUAAAUAAUUUGUGACUGUAUCAUAUGUUGUUCCAUUAAGGUGGUUAGAAAUGCCAUUAUGUUUGGAUAGUGUUGUAUAGUUGAAUACCAUGUGGAGAUGUUAGUGGUAAAUACUGAAUAUAUUGGGUGGUGGUUUGAAACUCAUGUAAUUUUGCCUGCAUGUUAUGAGAACAUGGAAAACAUAUCAUAAUGUGAUAUUGUUUGUUCUCUUAAGUUCAUAAUGUAUGCUACGAUUCUUCAAGUUGGAUUUGGAAUUUCAUGUUCAUGAGGGUUAUGGCUUGAAUCCAUUUUCCGAGGAUUGAUAAAAAAAAUGAGGAUUGGGAGUUGGAUUUUGUUUAAGGGCAAUGUAAAACCUUAGAUGUAAAACUCGGUUUAUAUUAUAAAUUUCUGUUCGUUAAAUUUUAUUGGAUUAUGAAAUAUUGCAUAGAUGUCUUUAAGGGUUUAGAGUUAAUUUUCUAUUAAGUUGAAGUAUGAUAUAUGAAUUAUUAAAAAAAGAAAUAGAUGGAAUUUGUUUGGGUAACAGAUUCAUUUAUGGUCCUAAAAUAAUGCCCAUUAACUUCUCCAUAUUAUUUAUAUUAAAAUCUUAGUGUUUUCAUUCAUUUUUUUUAUAACACCAUAUUUGGGAGAAGAAGAAGAAGAAUUGGAAGAAAGCUAGAAGAAGAUUUGGAUUUUUAUGCUCAUACAUGUGAGUAGACGUUUUUGUUUCUAUUUCUGUUUUCUGUGAUUUCAGAUUUUUUACUCAUCUUUGAAAAAAUCAUAGAAACUUCGUUUGAAAAGCUUUUUAAUUGAUUCCAAAAUCCCUGAACACUAGAUUGAAAUGUAUUCAUUCGAUUAGUUAAGACCAAUUUACGAAAGUUAUUUUAAUUUGGUGAAAAACGACUUGCAAGUAUGACAUCCGUUGCAGUGUUUGGUUUCUGUACCGUUUUAGUAUCGCAAGGUUUUGAUCCCUCUAGACUUAAUAAUAUUUAUUGAAAAGUUUAUGGUAGUUAGAAUACUCAAUGUAUAACAACAUAUAUAAAUUUCGGAAUUUACUGUUGUGUAAUUAAUUCUGAAUAAUUUAUUCAACGUAGUUAUAUUCAGAUAUCCAAUAUAAUUUUACUGCUACCUUUCUGUUUGCGUGGCUAUUAUAGAAAAAUCAUAGAAGACUCGUUACUCAACAUAUCUUGAUGAAUUUACUUGUUUUAGAAAAUAGACAUUAUGAACUAUAAUUUCUAUGUUUAGAAAUACAUUAAAUUAUGAGGCUAAUAUCGUGAAAAAUGCUCAGGAAGUCUGACGUAGAUUGUUUUAGGAUUUCUUUCUGAAAUCUGGUAGGAUUGAGUAAAACAAUUGUUUAAUUAUUUUCUAUAUAUCGAAACGAUUCCAGAUUUUUAUUCCAAGUAAUAUUUUUAUAUUAAAAGGUUGUAUUAAAAAUUUAUGAGAUUUGAGUAAUUAUUUUUAGAUGUGUGAAUUUUGAAAGAUGUAUGUUAUUGUUUGGCAGAUUUAUGUAAAAAGUUUCUUUUUAGCAUAUAUGUUUUCUUUUGGGUUUGUCGUUUUGUUUGAUUGUCAAGUUGAAAUAGUCAUGUACUAAAAGUAUUCUUAAUAUUGAAGUGGAUUAGUAUAAUGGCAUGUGACUUGAUUAAUUAUGUUUAAAGUAACGUGGAAAGUUAUAUUGAUGAACGCCUAGAAAUGGCUCCAUACCAAUGGAUGGUAUAUGAAUAGAAACGAAAUGAAUACUGAACUUUGGAUUUAAUUAUGGAAUGAUUUGUAAUGGUUGGAUACCAUGGACGGUAUAUAUUCAAUUUGGGAAAUAAGAACGGAAUACGAAAUAGACUUGGAAUUUAAUUGUUUGACAAGGGUUGUGUGAUUGCUUGAUUAGUUUAGUUGUUUUGGUAGUCGCCAAAGCAUUAGUAGAUUUGCCGCACCUCUGGAAUUAGGUUAAAAAAAUUAAUUAUCACCCUAGACGGCUUAGCCUGCGAGUUGACUCUUGGAUUAUAUUUGGGUAUUUUCUAGACGGCUUAGCCUGCGGAACUGACCCUUUAGACCUUCAUAGCCUUCGGGGUUGGUCUGGGCGCCAAUUAGAAAGCUCAAGGGAGCUAUUAGAGAUCAUGAGUUAGGCAUACGUCGAGGUUAGCCAAAGCUUGCAGGUGAGCACCCACUUGGGUUUUGGUUUCCGCGUAGAGGCUCUUAACCAUGGUCAAGGCACACUGGUGCAAUGUGGGUAUGGCAAAUGUGUGGAGUGCAUCCUGUGGGAACUGUACUAGUGAUUGGGCAUAGGUUGUGAUUUUAUGAUUAUUAAACCCGAGCACCGGCUAGAGGCCAGGACGAGGUUUUGUGAUUUUGGAUUCGUUGUUUGGUAGUGUGCUAAAGCUUAUGGUAUUGUAGUGCUUGGUGUUAAUUAAUGAUAUGGGUAAAUUUUAUAUACUUUGAUUAUGAACCGGAGGUAGCUAUGAUUAUGUGGAAGAACUGUGAUGUUUUAUUUAUUAGGGGAAUUAAUAGUAAUAGUUGGACUUGUUAUUUUGGUAGAUUACAAACUAUGAAUAGUUGGAAUGAAUCAUUAUUAAUGGUUUGAAUGAACGAAAUGUAUUUUUAGGUUGAUACAAAGUAUUAGAUAACACGUAACGUGUAUGUGAUUUGGUUUAUCUUUAUUACAUUUGUGUCUUAUAUAUUAACUCCAUUUAGCAGGUGGAUAAGUCAACUAAUUUAUUUUGUUGCAGGUGGGAAAAUGCGCUGGAAAGGCCCAGGGAGCGCCUGGUACUUGUCUAACUUGGUAGGGAACGUCGAGAUUUUGGGACUGUACUGAGUGUACUGCAGAGCCAAGGACGGCUCUAUUUCUAAGGUGGUGAGAUUGUAACACCUAUGAGU
rnacentral:lncRNA from 1 species